GAAGUGUCAUUGCCCUCAGAGCUGAAUUCCCGCGAAGAUUGAGAGUCUGGCCACUUUCUCUGGAGUCACAUCAUCAUGAGUAAGAGGAAGGAGAAAGAUGCUCAUCUGUCCAUCGGGGAGUGCAUCUCACAGGUUCAGCAGAUUUUAAGGGAGCGGUUUUGUGGUCAGCAGCUUCCCGACACACCGGAGGGAGUCGAGGCUCAACACAAGUAAGUUAC